GAUGAACGCUGGCGGCGUGCCUAAUACAUGCAAGUCGAGCGAACGGACGAGAAGCUUGCUUCUCUGAUGUUAGCGGCGGACGGGUAAGUAACACGUGGAUAACCUACCUAUAAGACUGGGAUAACUUCGGGAAACCGGAGCUAAUACCGGAUGAUAUUUUGAACCGCAUGGUUCAAAAGUGAAAGACGGUCUUGCUGUCACUUAUAGAUGGAUCCGCGCUGCAUUAGCUAGUUGGUAAGGUAACGGCUUACCAAGGCAACGAUGCAUAGCCGACCUGAGAGGGUGAUCGGCCACACUGGAACUGAGACACGGUCCAGACUCCUACGGGAGGCAGCAGUAGGGAAUCUUCCGCAAUGGGCGAAAGCCUGACGGAGCAACGCCGCGUGAGUGAUGAAGGUCUUCGGAUCGUAAAACUCUGUUAUUAGGGAAGAACAUAUGUGUAAGUAACUGUGCACAUCUUGACGGUACCUAAUCAGAAAGCCAUGGCUAACUACGUG
rnacentral:rRNA from 1 species